UACACUUUGCUAUGCUUUUAUUAUGGGACGCUUUUAUAAGGGUAGCACUCAUUUUACCAGUUUUAAAACACAGCAAGCUGGUUGUACUGGGCUAGAGUGAGAUAUUUACCAGGAUUGUUACAGGCAUGUAUACUUUGGGAAGAGCUUGUUUUUGCUAGUAAAUUAAAGCACACAGCUUAGAACAUAAGCAGUGAUUGCACUGAGCAGUGUUGUACUCCCCAGUAUUUGUGAUCUUUCUGAAUUGCUGCGAGGUGUCAGAGUGAGUGUCUCAGCUCUCGUUUGUUUGCAGGCAGGGAGUUUGUCUAUGCAGUGAAGGAUGAACAGGCAGUCUCGGAGCAGCAGGGCUGUCACAGGGUCAGGAUGUAUUCCAUCCCGGGAGAUCCCAGGUGUCCCGUGGCUGCCUUCCAGCUCUACCUGUCCAAACUGAACCCAUUCAGCAAUGCCUUGUUCCAGCACCCCAUCCUGCACCCCUCCACGGAGAUCUGGUACAACACCAAACCUGUCGGAGUCAACGUCUUAGGCAGCAUGAUGCCCAGGCUGUCGAAGGAAGCCCAGCUGUCCACAAUCUACUCCAACCACAGCAUCCGAAUGACCCCUAUUGUCCUGCUGACGGGAUUCAUGCAGGUGCGCGGCUCCUCGAACGCAGGUAUCACUCGGUGCAAGCUGAUAACCGGACCGAACAGGGACUAAUGCAUGAGGUAGUUCCUCUGAAAUCAUAGACACAGUGGUUAGAAGACACUGCGUCCAGCAUCACUUGCAUAGUAUUGACUAUGCCAAGCCAGCAACUGUGUGAUAAGGUUACAAAAAUACACAUUUAAACACCAGCAAGUGGUGCACACUGGUGCAAGUACUAAAUUUAUAGUGUUGUGUGUCAACCUUCAUGCACAAUUCCACAUGACUUAAUGUACGGCUUCACAAAGAAUUAUGGUGACUUUUUUGUUGUACAUACAUGUAUACAAUUACAUCAGCAUGGUGUAGUUAUGUGUAAUGUUACUUCUAUGAAUGUAAUCUUUAUCAAGUUCUUAUUGUGUUUGUAGAUUAUCUACAAUUAUUACAGUAGAUGCUGCUGUAAUGCUGUGUAUCUCAUAUCUAGGGAAAGGUUAGCUGUUUAUUACCCGAAGCUAAUAGAAUACAUGGAUAGUAUCUAUAAUUUGCAGUGUGGCCCGUGUUUUGUUGUUCUUAGAUCGUAAAGUCAUAAUUCAGUGAAUUAUCACUUCCCUUCACCUAUUGUCUUACAGUAUCGUAAGUUGCUAUAAAAAGUUAUUUUCUUUCCAAGUCGUUGCUGGUCAUCUGUUUUUUCUCUGCACAGGUGUCCAACACAGACCUCUUGAGCCAUACUGUACACGGGUCACUGCUCUCCUCAGUGUGCCUCUUUCCCUGUAGAAGUGAACUAUCCCAUUCAAAGCUCUUAAUGUGUUUUAAAAGAGGGCUGGUCUUUAAUAGGACUGAGUCCUGUCACAAUGCAAACAAACUGAUGUGCUUAAACAUGGCCCAUGUGUAAUGAGCACAAGCAUGCUGAAGCUGUGUCUAAUGAACACAAGCAUACUGAAGCUGUGUCUAAUGAGCACAAGCAUGCUGAAGCCGUGUCUAAUGAGCACAAGCAUACUGAAGCUGUGUCUAAUGAGCACAGGAAUACUGAAGCUGUGUCUAAUGAACACAAGCAUACUGAAGCUGUGUCUAAUGAGCACAGGAAUACUGAAGCUGUGUCUAAUGAGCACAGGAAUACUGAAGCUGUGUCUAAUGAGCACAAGCAUACUGAAGCUGUGUCUAAUGAGCACAGGAAUACUGAAGCUGUGUCUAAUGAGCACAGGAAUACUGAAGCUGUGUCUAAUGAGCACAGGAAUACUGAAGCUGUGUCUAAUGAACACAAGCAUGCUGAAGCUGUGUCUAAUGAGCACAAGCAUGCUGAAGCCAUGUCUAAUGAGCACAAGCAUGCUGAAGCCGUGUCGUUAGCAGGCUGGGAAAAGCUUUAGUAAACUUUAUUUCAUGUUUCAGAAUUUUUUUUUUUUGUUCAUAAUGUAUGUUUAGUAAUAUUUAAUCAUGGCUCUUAACAAAUAGAAGUUGGACAGCUAUGUUCUACAUUAUAUGUAUUUUCUUAAUCUCAACAUUACUUGCUUGUUUCUCACAAAUCAGUUUUUAAAUGUCUCUAUUGUUUCCAGCUGCCUUUGUAUUUGUAUGAUGGAGUUCUGUGUGUAUAACCCAGCGAUUGUGUUACCAUUCUCAUGUGUUACUGUGUACUGUGUUUAUGUCAAGUAUAUUUAAUAAAGACAAUGCCA